AGUAGAAUUGCUGGGUCAUGUGGUAAGUCUUUGUUUAACAUUUUAAGGAACUGCCAGACUGUUUUCCAAAGUCACUGAACCAUUUUACACUCCCACCAGCAAU
rnacentral:pre_miRNA from 1 species